rnacentral:rRNA from 1 species
AGAGUUUGAUCAUGGCUCAGAUUGAACGCUGGCGGCGUGCUUAACACAUGCAAGUCGUGCGAGAAAAGGGGGGACUUCGGUCCCUGAGUAGAGCGGCGCACGGGUGAGUAACGCGUGGAUGAUCUACCCAGAUAUUCGGGAUAACGGCGGGAAACUGCCGCUAAUACCGGAUACGCUCCAAUUUCGGUUGGGGAAAGGCGGCCUCUGCUUGCAAGCUGUCGUAUCUGGAUGAGUCCGCGUCCCAUUAGCUUGUUGGUGGGGUAAUGGCCUACCAAGGCGACGAUGGGUAGCUGGUCUGAGAGGAUGAUCAGCCACACUGGAACUGAAACACGGWCCAGACUCCUACGGGAGGCAGCAGUGAGGAAUAUUGCGCAAUGGGGGCAACCCUGACGCAGCGACGCCGCGUGGGGGAAGAAGGCUCUCGGGUCGUAAACCUCUGUCGGGAAGGAAGAACCCUCUCAGGGCUGAACAAGCCUGGGGACUGACGGUACUUCCAAAGGAAGCACCGGCUAACUCCGUGCCAGCAGCCGCGGUAAUA